rnacentral:rRNA from 1 species
UUGACCUCGGAUCAGGUAGGGAUACCCGCUGAACUUAAGCAUAUCAAUAAGCGGAGGAAAAGAAACCAACAGGGAUUGCCUCAGUAACGGCGAGUGAAGCGGCAAAAGCUCAAAUUUUAAAGCUGGCAUCUUCGGUGUCCGCGUUGUAAUUUUGUGAGGCAUCUCCGGGUAGGGCGCCGGCCUAAGUUCCUUGGAACAGGACGUCACAGAGGGUGAGAAUCCCGUGCUUGGCUGGCUGUCCCCGUCCAUGUGAGGUGUCUUCGACGAGUCGAGUUGUUUGGGAAUGCAGCUCAAAAUGGGUGGUAAAUUUCAUCUAAAGCUAAAUAUUGGUGGGAGACCGAUAGCGCACAAGUAGAGUGAUCGAAAGAUGAAAAGCACUUUGAAAAUAGAGUUAAAAAGUACGUGAAAUUGUUGAAAGGGAAGCGCUUGAGACCAGACUUCGGUAGGGGGUGAUCAGCCGUCCUUCUGGGCGGUGCACUUGCCCCCCUCCGGGCCAGCAUCGGUUGAGGCGGCGGGAUAAAGGUCCCGGGAAUGUGACUCCUCUCAAGGGAGUGUUUAUAGCCCGGGUGAAUGCCGCCAGCUUCGACCGAGGACCGCGCCCGCAAGGGUUAGGAUGCUUGGCAUAAUGGUCUUCAGCGACCCGUCUU